GAGAGAAAUCAAGAGAGGGAGGGAAGAGGACCGGAGUCCGAAAGAGAGAGAAAGAGGGUCUUGUUUCGCUUUUGAGGAAGCCAGGAGUCGGAUCGCCGUUUCCUGCAGGACGACUCGACUGGAAAUGCUGGAAAAGCAGUCAUUCCCUUCAUCCCAUUUUUCUCUGCGCUUGGGACGUUGUUUUGCCGUGAGACAUAAAGGACUCAGAACUGGCAGCUCACUGGAAUUCUACACCGAACGACACAUGGAACAAACAACAGACAAAGCAAGUGCAUGAAAACAACAAUCAGAGCAAUUUGGAGGAGAACGCAAACAAGGUGCACAUCUGGAAUAAGGAAUAAACAGACUGACGUAACGAGGGAGAGCGAGAUGAGGAGGUGUUGAAGGGGAAAAUGAGCACAUGAACAUGGCAGGUGGAUGAAAAGGAGCAGGAGUAGAAGGAGAGAGGAAGAUAAAAAACAGCAGGAUCCUGGAAAACAGAGGGAGAAAACAGCUGGAAAGAGUCAAAGGUGGAAGAAUAUGUUGAGAAUCUUGAAAUGCGAUCAGUGGAAAUGUGAAAUUGCUGGUAGGCCCCAAGGCCAAAAUGUUUCACAGCAGGACCAUUUUAACAAGGGAAGAGCAUAUCCAAGUGCAUAUUCCAGAUACGAGUGGAAUUGAGAGUCUGACUCGAGUUAAAUCCUCAUGUUUGAAGUGUGCGCAUGGACACAGGAUAAAUUCCUAAGCACACAUGGACACUCCUCUGCCUUGACAAGGGAUAAACACCUAAUUCUGGAUUAAAACGCACCUGAGCAACUUAAACACAUGCAGAUAAACGCCUGGAAAUGAGCAGCUAAUUGACCUGGGAUCAACACAGACAAAAAAGGUCUGUGGAUUACUCCC